CUCCCCCCUUUGUGGCUACUUUUUGACACAAAUUUUCAGUUCAAAUAAUUUAAUUUGUUUCAUUAACCUUCUAUAAAUAGCCUUCAUCUGCCGGGUUCCUCAGCACAUCUUGCAAAAAAAAAAAAAAGUCAAAAUACAGUGUAAAUUGUUUAGCCACAGUGGCUGUAGUUCUUUGCUAUGUAAGUACGAUAUAUUUAGAACUUUUCACAUAGCAAUUAUUGUUUUGCUCUUUGAUUCCCACCCAUUACCACGGACGUUUUGUCUUUGUCCAUAACUUGGCCCGGUUACUUAUUCUAUGUUAAUCGAGACAGACAUUCCCAUUCUAAACAUGCAGCUUCUUUUGUCAGCUUAAGCUAAUGAUGCCUAAUAAUUAGGAAUGCUAAAGGGGCACUCAGACCCUGGGUUUACUUUCCUGCUGCCUUCCUUGCCCUGACAAUCAUGUUUGUCUGAUUGUGCAGUGAGGCAGUUCAGGGGACUAAAGAGAAAAUCAACAGGCUAAACAGUGAAGGGUUAUUAUGAGGGCAAUUACCAUUUGGCAGGGAUAGCUCCCCAUAAAGGCCUUUGCAGGUGGAGUUACUAUACAGAACAUAUUAAAGGUGCCAAUCUGUAAGCACUAGGAAUUGAAUAAUUAAUGCCAAAGAGGCAAUGACAGGAGAGAAGGCGAAUGAUACUUCCUUGUUUAAGGUUCUGUCUGCUCUUUUGUAAACAACAAUAUCAUUAGGUAUGUGUCCAAAUAACUGCUCAAAUGGUGUUUGAUUUUUAUUAUUAUUUUAAUAAGCUUAAGAAGAAAUACUAAGUCAUAUAACUUUCUUUCUGACCUGCUUCUGAGCUUUUGAAUCUUCUUACUUCACAACAACUCUGAAAUUUCAGCAAUGUGGUUGACAUAAGUUCUAUGGCUAUAUAUCUUGAAUCACCAAGGAUGCAUUCAUUGAAUUCUCUUCACUGAGCAUGCUGCUGUUUUGCUAUUUAAAAGACCUACAGGUGAGUAGAUGGGCAGACUCUGUGCUUUUGGUGCAGCAUUUUGAAAAAAAUAGAAGUUAAUUUGGAAUUUUUUUUUGAAGUGUAACACAGAUAUGCCUUAACAUAUAUUCUAAUACUAUUUUUUGUUUUUAAUAUUUUCAGUGUCUGCAGGGGUGAGUUCAAGCCCCACCUUCCAUUGUGCAAAGUUUGUAUGCACAUUUCGCAAAGGGAGCCUUAUAACUCUGAAAUCCCAAAGGUAUGUGAUGUUAAAGGAUUUGAAACAGUGGAAGGGUAAGGAAGGCAGGAAGUAGGUCUCCUUGUAAAUUCUGCCUCUCGAAGAGCUGUUUAACCACAAAGGCUACAUAACUCUUCUUGCAAUGGGUGACUCCAAGCAGUAGUUCAUACAAACGCUUAAAUGGAAACGGGGUAAGGACCUUUGCAUAGCAGCUGUACAGCCUAAAGACCACUCUGUCAAAUGGUCUUUAAGUAUUAUCUAUAGAUAACAUUCCACAGGACUGUUCAGCAGAUGUAAGUCACAGAGGUAUUUCUUAGCAAGCACAGUGAUGUAGCUUGAGUUCUGGUGGACCUCUGAUGAUAAAAGGGCUCUGUCUUUAUCAGUACCAUACGAGGCAUUGACAGAGACUGCAGUCUGUUUUAAAACCUGCUUCAGAGAAGGCUGUUCCUUUGGAUCAUCGUGAACUGUUCUGGUGAUCUAAAGGGUCUCCUUAUCAAUGUUCUAAAUAGAGAACCUUUGUGUUUUUGUCAGCAUGUUGCUGUAACAUGUCUUGUGAUAGGGUUUCAGCAUCUUAAUCAUAGUUCAUGCUGUCCAGGCUUCUGCGAUGUUUGGGAACAACCUUUUUUAAGAACAGCUGGCCUUGCACAGUCAGGCCCCGUGAGUAAUUGGCCAGUGCCACAACCGACGAGGUGAAAGCUGGUAAGCAGAAGAUAUUCCAUCUGUGAAAAUCUUUCUUGGAAAGUGAGUCAGCAGUGGCAACUUGAAUCAAAAUCUGAUGCUGCUAAGCAGGAGUGUGAAGAUUGUGAUGGAGCAGGACCAAAUCCCUCCCCCCACACACAUUGAGUUAGUGCCAAAAAAGGUGAUGAGGGUCCUGUUUUCAUCAAACUAUCAUGCAGAGGGCCAGUUAUCUUUUUGCUUAAUAUUGUACGGCAUCCCAUUAAAAUUGUUUCCUCCUCUUCCAAAAAUGGAAAUAAUACUAUUUUGAGGCACUAGGUCUCACUUGUGAGAUUGAGCAGGCAAAGAAACAAAUCUUUGAGAUUAUAGCAGUGUGUGCUCAGGACUGGUCAAAUACACCAGGCAAUACUGUACAUUAUUGCAUUUUGAACGAAUGUGAGCUAAUAUUACAGAUAUUUAACACUGAGGAUUGAAGAUCCUGAUCUAGUAGCCUGUCAUAAGGUCAAUGAGAGGAGGUUCGAAAGUGUAAGGCUCCUAUUACUGGACUGUGUGUCAGGCCUGCUCUGAUCUUUGUGCCAUUGCUGUGAAACACUGUAUCAAGGAAUUGCACGCAUUCUGUGCCAGAGCCUGGGCAGUCCAUAGUAAAAAAUCAUACCUUCUUCCUGAGGUUAAUUGCAAGGAUCUAGAGCCCUGAUGAACCCUGCCUGUAUGUUAGUAAUUUGAAGUGGAGUUAGAGUCUUUAGUAUGGGCACCAGGAAAUGAAGCUCAGCAGUUCUUUGAAACUCUGCAGAGAAUAUAAGGAGCACGGAGGCCUUUCUGUGUUACGCUAAAAUAGACCAGAAGCCUGUCAUUUCAAAUUAGUUGGGAGAUCAGGUCCUGGCACUGUAACACGUUGUCAUGAUAGAUUCAGGCUGUGCAAUGAGUCCUUGGUCAACAGGUCGUGGGAAUCAAUGAUCACUGUCUUUAUAAUGAAAUGAUUUUGGAACUACCACUUCCUCUUUUUAUCACCAUGAAGUUUAAGACAUUACACUUUAUAGAUGGGGUGUUUUUACCAAAUGUGCCUUAUGCACAGGGCAGGCAGAGCUGGAAGAUGAAUCUCAACAAAGUCACAUAAGUAGACCUUACUGGAGAAUAAAGCAUGGAAUCAAACUGCAAAAAGAUGGUUAAAUGGUACAAAUACACGUAAGGAAUGCUGCAUUAUUGAAGGGAUGUGCAGCUAUCGAGUGCUGCAAUCCACCUGGCAGGAAAAAAAAAAAACAUAAAUGGAAAAGUGCCAGACUUACUUGUGCAUCAGACACAGCAGAGUAUGGACACCAUCAAGCUCUCUGUGGAAAACUUGUCUCCAGUUAUAAAGCACUUGUACAGCUGCAGGACAGAUACAUAUGUGGAUUAUCAGUUAAAAGAUGAAACAACAUGUUUUUUUUUCAUAAAUGGGAUUUUAUUAUACUCAUUA